rnacentral:tRNA from 1 species
UUAACUGAAACCAAAAUAGAGGUAUAUUAUUGUUAAUAAUAAGAUUGAAUAAAAAUUCCAGUUAAG